GCGCCUAGUCCUGCGGCUCCAGCGCUGGCGCGGGGCUGGCCCUCCCGGCUGCCCCGCGGAGGGGAAGGCAGGGGAGCGUGCUGGUCCGGAGUGAAGGGAGCCAGAGUCACGCGAGGCCGCGGCCAGGCCGCGGGCCGCCCGGUCCGGUGUGGGGGUUGGAGAAGGAGCUCUCUAGAGGAAUGAACUCAUGCUAAGUUGUCCAGACUGGCCUUCAACUUGAGAUCCUCUUGCCUGUCUCCAGCAUAGCUGGGAUUAUACAUGUGCACGUCCUUAAUGUCUUAAAGCCUGGACCAACAAAAUAUCUUCCGCUAACUGAGGACCAGUUACAUGCCCAACUCUGGAAUCCUUUGAGCAGGAACUGCCAGAGGCCUAAUGAGGCCGAGCUACUUUGCACAAAGGAGGAGAGUCUGCUGCAGGGCUGUCACUGCUCUGUACCUUCCUGGAGACUGGUGGUCAGGUGACUCUGGAGGCUCUGACUGCCUCAAAUCUAUAAAGAUGGUGGGAGGCUCUAUCUUCAGCCUCGUGCUUUCGACCAGCGGCUGGCCUAGCUCGGCCUGGAAGCCUGGCUUCAUUGAAGCACAUCUGUGACAAGAGAAAGGCAGGGUGGCUGAGUCCAGUCACGCUGCUCUUGGCAGCCACUGAAAGUGUGCCCACCAGGUGAGGGUAGGCACUCCAGCCCAUCUACCCUUUCAUUCUCCCCAGCCACCCUCAAGCAAGCCCACGCUGCCAACAGCAGUUGGCAUGAAUAAAAUGCCAUGAGUCCAUGCUGUCCAGCAUGGGACCUCUUAACCAGAGGUGGCUGUUCACAUUCACAUCUGCAAUCCUGGGGAUGGAACCCAGAGCCAACAUGUUGGGCAAGGUCGCAUCCCUAGCCCUUUUUAAGUUCGAGGCCCUGUCUCAAUAAAAGGGCUGGAGGAAUAGCUCAGUGAUAAAGCAACCCUGGCUUCAGUCCCCAGUAUCCAAAACAAAAAGUGACAGGGGUAAUGAAUGGCAAGAAAUCAUACCUGCUUCCAGCCUCCUGCUCCUCUGUGUCUUGGGGUGUGUCAGCAGGCAGCUUCCGGGCAGGGCCAGAGGCUCUGGACUGCACCGCGCACAGGAGAGCCAGCUGUUCCAGGAGCCUGUCCUGGGAGCAUGGUGCCGUGCGGGCUGUGAAUUGUCGGAGAGGAGAGGAUUGGGACCCCCUUGUCUUAUAGCACCUUGAGACUCAGGACCCUUUAUGCCUCUUCUUUAUGUGUCUCAGUCUUUACUGUAGCCCCAGCCCUUUGUGAGUCCUCCAAUGAGCUCAGCAGGGUGAAGGGAGCAGUAUCUUAGGGGCAGGGCCACUGCAUUUGAGCCUCAUGGAGUAGGGGCAACCAAGUAUUUGAACUAUGUCAUUCCCUACCCCCACAUCAGGGUAUUCAUAAUAAAUGAUUGCCCGUGUGUGCUUUUUAAAACAGCAAAUGGAAUCACCUUACAGAUUUGUUUCAACUCCAUUUUUAUUUUGCCUUAUAGAUUAUAUCUUCCUACAUUAGUAGGGAUUUUCCUCAUUAAGCAGCAGAGUACUCUGGUAUAACUGGCUCAGCCAGACUCCGAUUGCAUAUGGGUUUUUCCAAGCUUUCAUAGUUUUAAAGAGCACCACAAUGAAUAUUCUUGAAUACCCACUAUAUGUUUAGUAGAGAUUUUCAAAAUGGAAUAGCUUACUCAAAUGGAUGUGCCUUUAAAAUAGACAAGAUUCAGUUGGACACUGUGGCACAUGCCUGGAAUCCCAGCUGGCUGGGAGGCUGAGGCAGAAGGAUCACA